GACGAACGCUGGCGGCGUGCUUAACACAUGCAAGUCGAACGGAAAGGCCCUGCUUUUGUGGGGUGCUCGAGUGGCGAACGGGUGAGUAACACGUGAGUAACCUGCCCUUGACUUUGGGAUAACUUCAGGAAACUGGGGCUAAUACCGGAUAGGAGCUCCUGCUGCAUGGUGGGGGUUGGAAAGUUUCGGCGGUUGGGGAUGGACUCGCGGCUUAUCAGCUUGUUGGUGGGGUAGUGGCUUACCAAGGCUUUGACGGGUAGCCGGCCUGAGAGGGUGACCGGCCACAUUGGGACUGAGAGACGGCCCAGACUCCUACGGGAGGCAGCGGUGGGGAAUAUUGCACAGUGGGCGGAAGCCUGAGGCAGCAGCGCCGCGUGCGGGAUGACGGCCUUCGGGUUGUAAACCGCUUUCGCCUGUGACGAAGCGUGAGUGACGGUAAUGGGUAAAGAAGCACCGGCUAACUACGUG
rnacentral:rRNA from 1 species